UACGUAGGGGGCGAGCGUUGUCCGGAAUCAUUGGGCGUAAAGCGCGUGUAGGCGGCUCGGUAAGUCCGGUGUGAAACCUUGGGGCUCAACCCCAAGCCUGCACUGGAUACUGCCGAGCUAGAGUCCGGGAGGGGAGAGCGGAAUUCCUAGUGUAGCGGUGAAAUGCGCAGAUAUUAGGAAGAACACCGGUGGCGAAGGCGGCUCUCUGGAACGGUACUGACGCUGAGACGCGAAAGCGUGGGGAGCGAACAGG
rnacentral:rRNA from 1 species